ACUCGGCUGGCUCAAUUGGUAGAGCAUGUGACUCUUGAUCUCAGCGUUCUGAGUUUGAGCCUCAGGCUGGGUA
rnacentral:tRNA from 1 species